rnacentral:rRNA from 1 species
GCUUGUCUCAAAGAUUAAGCCAUGCAUGUCUAAGUAUAAACUGCUUAUACUGUGAAACUGCGAAUGGCUCAUUAAAUCAGUUAUAGUUUAUUUGAUGGUACCUACUACUCGGAUAACCGUAGUAAUUCUAGAGCUAAUACAUGCUAAGACCGUAAGGUUGUAUUUAUUAGAUAUACCGAGUAGGUGAAUCAUAAUAACUUCGCAAAUCGCAGUAAUACUGCGAUAAAUCAUUCAAGUUUCUGCCCUAUCAUGCUCUCGAUGGUAGUGUAUUGGACUACCAUGGCUCUCACGGGUAACGGGGAAUUAGGGUUCGAUUCCGGAGAAGGAGCCUGAGAAACGGCUACUACAUCUAAGGAAGGCAGCAGG